GUUUUAUCAAGUUUCCAUGUUUUAAAUUACUCAAGUGAAUACUAACCCGGUUAUCUAACGUAGCUACAACCUAAGGAAGUUUGUGCGUUAGUUUGGUAGAUAUGCCUGGAGCAGUGACAGUAAACGACCUCAUCUAAUGUCCCAGGGUUGCACACAUCUUGGCCACAGCUGGAAGAUCUCUUCUACUGGAUCUUUUCUACUUGGAUACAACACUCAAAGAAGCCUCCAGGACUGGUACUGUCUCUGUAGUGUCAAAGUGCUUACAGUGCAGGUAGUACUAAGUGAUACCUACUGCAGUGGAGGCACUUCAAGCACUACACUGACACACUAAACUAAACUAUCCCACACAGCAGACCGUUCGUCUGUUAACUACUGCUUAUGCUAAGGUGCAUCUAGUGCAGAUAGUGAAGUAGACUAGCACCUACUGCCCUAAGUGCUCCUUCUGGCAUAAGGAGCAGGGAUUCGCAUCUGGUGUGUUUGGCUGUAUUUGUGCUUUCUUCUUAUGCAGUUCUCUGCUAGUUUUGCAUAGUUGCACUACAAGAAAAAAUGAGUUGUGCAAAUCUAUGCAAAACUGAUGGUGGCCUGCUUCCCCGUCUUUCCUAUGCUGUGUGCUUGGACGAGGCUGCCUGUGCGCAUCUUGCAACGCUUCUGUGUGUGUCUGUGUGAGACCCCCAGCCACUCUGUCCUUUACAUCAGGUUUCAGCAGUAUUAAAGUGCUUAUAGUGCAGGUAGUUACUUAUUCAUCUACUGCAGUGUGAGCACUUGAAGUACUUCUAGAUUGUGGGCAUCAGCAUGGACCCUGAAGCUACAAGACUGUUGCCACUGGACUCUGGUUAGUUUUGCUGGUUUGCAUUCAGCUUGUAACUGUUGCUGUGCAAAUCCAUGCAAAACUGAUCAUGGCAGUGAAUCGUCUGCCAACUCAGAUGGGCAAUCCCUUUCUGUGCAGGUUGGGAUGGGUGGCAAUGCUCUUGUACUUGUAUGGUAUUGCACUUGUCCCGGCCUGUUGAGGACUUGGGAAACUAUACUGCUGCCUUUUGAGUAGUAAAUUCAUCCAUAAUAUCUUUCCUGUUUUAAAUGAUCCUGGUACAAUUUGUUGUUUUGUUUUUGUUUAUCUGUUUGUUAAAAUAUUGUUUUCCUUUGUACAACUUGAAUAAAAGUUUUGACAAACUUA